rnacentral:tRNA from 1 species
GAGGGUAUAGCUCAGUGGUAGAGUGCGUGCUUAGCAUGCGCGAGAUCCUGAGUUCGAUCCCCAGUACCUCCA